rnacentral:rRNA from 1 species
AAAGCAGCAAGGCGCGGGGGGAGGGGCCCGCGGCCCACCAGGGAGGGGGGGAGGAAACGGCCCACCAAGGCGAAGACGGGCAGCCGGACAGAGAGGACGCCCGGCCACACAGGAACAGAGACACGGACCAAACACCGACGGGGGGCAGCAGGCGAGAACCACCCACAAGGGGGGAAACCCGGAGGGCGCGACGCCGCGGGGGGGAACGAAGGCCCGCGGACCGCAAACCCCGGGCAGGCGGGAGCAAACAAAAAAGACAGCACCACAAGAGGAAGAGACGGCUAACUCUGUGCCAGCAGCCGCGGUAAUACAGAGGUCUCAAGCGUUGUUUGGAAUCACUGGGCGUAAAGCGUGCGUCGGCUGUUUCGUAACUCGUGUGUGAAAGGCGCGGGCUCAACCCGCGGACGGCACAUGAUACUGCGAGACUAGAGUAAUGGAGGGGGAACCGGAAUUCUCGGUGUAGCAGUGAAAUGCGUAGAUAUUGAGAGGAACACUCGUGGCACAGGCGGGUUCCUGGACAUUAACUGACGCUGAGGCACGAAGACCAGGGGAG